rnacentral:lncRNA from 1 species
AUAUCUGUUUGUUAGAUUUUCAUUUUUAGAAUGUUUAAGGCUCUGAUGAAUGGCGUAAAAAUCUUGAUGCACGAGUUAAUUUUUUUCCUUAGUAUAACAUGUAUUCUAUGUGCCCGGCAUUGAGAUCUUUAUUUGUUGGAUUAAAAAGACCUUAUAAUUGUUUCUUGAACUUAUUUUUUUUUUGUAUAAAGUAUUUUUAUCCAGUAACAUUAUACUGGUUAAAUGAGCAGAUGAAACGAUUUCUCUUUUAAAAUCUGAUUUUUGGGAGCCAAAGGUGUCCUUUCUGGCAUAGGGUUGAAAUUGAAUACAUGUUUUAAUGAUUUGAACCUAGAUGAACUUAUUAAAGAAUAAAAGGGUGUUCAGGUCGAGAUAUGAGAGGUGAUUUGCUGUUAUCAUGUGGUUCUUCAUUUAUCUGGUCAGUUAGCUAAUCGCCCUUUAAUAUCAGCGUUUGUCAAAUGCGAGCAAAAACACUAAGGACAUCUAUGUGUGAUAUUUUCCAUUUUAAAGUUGCAGCUAUGUUCUUUUUUCUCCAUUUACUCUGUUCAUGCAGUGCAUUUCAGGUGCUUUGUUUAGCAUAUGAGGCUGAACGAAUGCUGCAUCUUUUCAUAUUAUGAAAGACUCACAUGCAGUAUUCAUUUCUCCAUUACAUUUUAAACUCCCCGUGUGGUUCAGGUUCUUUCCUUUGCGUUGGAAGUGAGUGGCACCGGUUCCCUUCUUCGUUCUUCAUUCCUGAUUACGUGGGCCAAGUUAGAUGGUUGGAUGAUGGAUUCACAGGCCUUCUUCCAAUUCCAUUCAAUUCUAGCUUGGGUGGGACCUCGGCAGCACCAUCUUACUUCAAUAAUAAGAACAAGGCAUCAGAGGAGCAAUAUGUAAGCGGACAAUUCCUAUUAUGUUGGCCUUCUUCCAGUUCCAUUCAAUUCUAGCUUGGGUGGGACCUCGGCAGCACCAUCUUACUUCACUAAUAAGAACAAGGCAUCAGAGGAGCAAUAUGUAAGCGGACAAGACCUAUUAUGUUUAACCAGAAACAAUGCCCAUCUUUUACAAGUCUGUAUUUUGUUUCUAUUGUAGUGCACAAUUUAUAUCAACUCGAGGAUGACACUCAGCUUUGAUUGGUAAUAAUUUCACAGCUU